rnacentral:rRNA from 1 species
CGGGGUGCAGCAGGCGCGAAACCUCUGCAAUAGGCGAAAGCCUGACAGGGUUACUCUGAGUGAUCUCCGUUAAGGAGAUCUUUUGGCACCUCUAAAAAUGGUGCAGAAUAAGGGGUGGGCAAGUCUGGUGUCAGCCGCCGCGGUAAUACCAGCACCCCGAGUGGUCGGGACGUUUAUUGGGCCUAAAGCAUCCGUAGCCGGUUCUACAAGUCUUCCGUUAAAUCCAGCUGCUUAACAGAUGGGCUGCGGAAGAUACUAUGGAGCUAGGAGGCGGGAGAGGCAAGCGGUACUCGAUGGGUAGGGGUAAAAUCCGUUGAUCCAUUGAAGACCACCAGUGGCGAAGGCGGCUUGCCAGAACGCGCUCGACGGUGAGGGAUGAAAGCUGGGGGAGCAAACCGGAUUAGAUACCCGGGUAGUCCCAGCUGUAAACGAUGCAGACUCGGUGAUGAGUUGGCUACAUGCCAUCUCAGUGCCGCAGGGAAGCCGUUAAGUUUGCCGCCUGGGGAGUACGGUCGCAAGACUGAAACUUAAAGGAAUUGGCGGGGGAGCACCACAAGGGGUGAAGCCUGCGGUUCAAUUGGAGUCAACGCCGGAAAUCUUACCGGGGGCGACAGCAGUAUGAAGGUCAAGCUGAAGACUUUACCAGACAAGCUGAGAGGAGGUGCAUGGCCGUCGCCAGCUCGUGCCGUGAGGUGUCCUGUUAAGUCAGGUAACGAGCGAGACCC